AGUCUGGAGCAGGCCAGCGGGGCGAAGGAUGUGCGACCCGGACUGGCCCUGAUGCGGGCGCGCGGGGAGGGAAGGUCGCGGUCGCGCUCUCUUGCCUCGGAGCCGAGAUCUCCGCUGAGAGCGGGUAUCGGCUUGCCACGCAGAAACACUGGCGAGUCUGGAGCGGUCUGAGAAUUUCCUACUAGGGUGUGGAAACCUCCUUCGCGCCCAUUCCCUUCCCUCUCUAGCCCCCUUUCCCACGUACUGGUUCCUUGUGAUCUGUGGGAUCCUUACAUUUUGCCCGCGUACCAAGGAUUUCUCGCCUCUUCACCCUCCAGCUGCACUCACGAUUUUGUUAACAAUUCGGGUGGUGGUGGGGAAUUAUGUUGCAGCCCCUGGAGCUCACAGUGUGUUUCACUAGCAUUUUCCGUGCCGGGGCGGAAGCACGAAGUUUUCACGAGCUCGAAACGCCCCAAUUGCUUUCCCCGGGGUCACUCCCCAGGGCG
rnacentral:lncRNA from 1 species